rnacentral:rRNA from 1 species
GGCGAACGCUGGCGGCGUGCCUAAUACAUGCAAGUUGAGCGCUGAAGGUUGGUACUUGUACCAACUGGAUGAGCAGCGAACGGGUGAGUAACGCGUGGGGAAUCUGCCUUUGAGCGGGGGACAACAUUUGGAAACGAAUGCUAAUACCGCAUAAAAACUUUAAACACAAGUUUUAAGUUUGAAAGGUGCAAUUGCAUCACUCAAAGAUGAUCCCGCGUUGUAUUAGCUAGUUGGUGAGGUAAAGGCUCACCAAGGCGAUGAUACAUAGCCGACCUGAGAGGGUGAUCGGCCACAUUGGGACUGAGACACGGCCCAAACUCCUACGGGAGGCAGCAGUAGGGAAUCUUCGGCAAUGGACGAAAGUCUGACCGAGCAACGCCGCGUGAGUGAAGAAGGUUUUCGGAUCGUAAAACUCUGUUGGUAGAGAAGAACGUUGGUGAGAGUGGAAAGCUCAUCAAGUGACGGUAACUACCCAGAAAGGGACGGCUAACUACGUG